UACGUAGGGGGCAAGCGUUGUCCGGAUUUAUUGGGCGUAAAGAGCGUGUAGGCGGCCAGACAGGUCCGUUGUGAAAACUCGAGGCUCAACCUCGAGAUGUCGAUGGAAACCGUCUGGCUAGAGUCCGGAAGAGGAGUGUGGAAUUCCAGGUGUAGCGGUGAAAUGCGUAGAUAUCUGGAGGAACACCGGUGGCGAAGGCGGCAUCCUGGACCAACACUGACACUGAGGAGCGAAAGCCAGGGGAGCAAACAGG
rnacentral:rRNA from 1 species